AUUGAACGCUGGCGGCAGGCCUAACACAUGCAAGUCGAACGAGUGGCGGACGGGUGAGUAAUGUCUGGGAAACUGCCUGAUGGAGGGGGAUAACUACUGGAAACGGUAGCUAAUACCGCAUACCAUCGGAUGUGCCCAGAUGGGAUUAGCUAGUGGGUGGGGUAACGGCUCACCUAGGCGACGAUCCCUAGCUGGUCUGAGAGGAUGACCAGCAAAGCUGGAACUGAAAAACGGUCGAGAGUCCUACGGAGGGAAGCAUUGGGGAAUAUUGCACAAUGGGCGCAAGCCUGAUGCAGCCAUGCCGCGUGUAUGAAGAAGGCCUUCGGGUUGUAAAGUACUUUCAGCGGGGAGGCGGUACCCGCAGAAGAAGCAACGGCUAACUCCGUGCCAGCCGCCGCGGUAAUUC
rnacentral:rRNA from 1 species